CGAUCGGCUGUAAAUGUUGCAGCUUCUACGGGAAACCGUAGUUGAAAAAUCAGGUGAACUCAGGGGAACCCGCCUUAGGCGGGCAAUCCUGAGCCAAGCCGCGGACAGUUCCGCGGAAGGUGCAGAGACUAUCCCGCAAGGGAGUACUGUUCUUAGAGAUAAGGAUGGGAAGCGCCUGAGUCCGUAAAGAGUAAGUGCUCCACGGAUAUGAUAUAGUCCAAGCUCUGAAGUAAUUCAGAG
rnacentral:ncRNA from 1 species